UAAAUUAGUUCUGCCCAAUGAUUUAUUAAUUAAAUGGCUGCAGUAUUUUAACUGUGCGAAGGUAGCAUAAUUAUUAGUUUAUUAAUUGUAAACUUGUAUGAAUGGUUAUAUGAAAAUUAAACUUUCUUUAAUUUAUUAUUAUGAAUUUAUAUUUUUUGUUAAAAUACAAAAAUAUAUUUAUAAGACGAGAAGACCCUAUAAAACUUUAUAUUAUAAUAUAAAAUAUUUUAUAUUAUAAUAUUCAAUUGGGGAGAUUAUGAAAUCUUUAUAACUUUCAUAUUUUUUAUUUCAUUAAUGGUUGUUUUAUUGAUUUAAUAUAUUAUAUUUGGAUUGGUUACUUUG
rnacentral:rRNA from 1 species